rnacentral:rRNA from 1 species
GAUGAACGCUGGCGGCGUGCCUAAUACAUGCAAGUCGAGCGAACAGACGAGGAGCUUGCUCCUCUGACGUUAGCGGCGGACGGGUGAGUAACACGUGGAUAACCUACCUAUAAGACUGGGAUAACUUCGGGAAACCGGAGCUAAUACCGGAUAAUAUAUUGAACCGCAUGGUUCAAUAGUGAAAGACGGUUUUGCUGUCACUUCUAGAUGGAUCCGCGCCGCAUUAGCUAGUUGGUAAGGUAACGGCUUACCAAGGCAACCAUGCGUAGCCGACCUGAGAGGGUGGUCGGCCACACUGGAACUGAGACACGGUCCAGACUCCUACGGGAGGCAGCAGUAUGGAAUCUUCCGCAAUGGGCGAAAGCCUGACGGAGCAACGCCGCGUGAGUGAUGAAGGUCUUCGGAUCGUAAAACUCUGUUAUUAGUGAAGAACAAAUGUGUAAGUAACUAUGCACGUCUUGACGGUACCUAAUCAGAAAGCCACGGCUAACUACGUG